UAGAAAGCCAGUAGAAAGCCAUUGCC
rnacentral:piRNA from 1 species